AGAGGUUUGCCAUUUUUUAGUUCUACUACUUUUAUGUAUGUGU
rnacentral:sRNA from 1 species